AUACGAAGGGAGCUAGCGUUGUUCGGAAUCACUGGGCGUAAAGCGCACGUAGGCGGAUUGUUUAGUCGGGGGUGAAAUCCCGGGGCUCAACCUCGGAACUGCCUUCGAUACUGGCAAUCUUGAGUCCGGAAGAGGUGGGUGGAAUUCCUAGUGUAGAGGUGAAAUUCGUAGAUAUUAGGAAGAACACCAGUGGCGAAGGCGGCCCACUGGUCCGGUACUGACGCUGAGGUGCGAAAGCGUGGGGAGCAAACAGGAUUAGAAACCCCGGUAGUCC
rnacentral:rRNA from 1 species